CACUAUGAAGCUUUAAAGCGCUAACCUUUUAAGUUAGAGUCAGGAAAUACAUAUUUCCCAUAGUGA
rnacentral:tRNA from 1 species